rnacentral:miRNA from 1 species
GCACGAGUGAGUUUUUCAAAGACCUCAAAAUAGCACGAAUCCGAAGGAUGAGUGCUAUUUGAGGUCUUUGAAAAACUCACGAGUGC